GAGGUACAGUUCUGUAUAUGAAUGGCAUUUUCAGUAAAGAAGUCUUGAGUACAAACGUUAGCGUUGAAUACCACUUCUCUGCCGAUCCUUAUUUUAGUGCCUCAAGCAGUAACGACUCUGGUUUUUCUGUAUAACGCCUCUGUGCGGUUUAAACUAUUAAAGGAAACUUUGAAAUGGCAAAGAUUAAAGGUCAGGUUAAGUGGUUCAACGAGUCUAAAGGCUUCGGUUUCAUCACUCCGGCUGAUGGCAGCAAAGACGUGUUCGUACACUUCUCUGCAAUUCAGGGUAACGGCUUUAAAACUUUAGCCGAAGGCCAGAAUGUUGAGUUUGAAAUUCAGGAUGGCCAGAAAGGUCCUUCUGCAGUGAACGUUGUUGCGCUGUAAUUUUCAGCUCAUGCCAUAAAACCCGCCCUGUGCGGGUUUUUUG
rfam:Dickeya dadantii 3937, complete genome.